CAUCCCGAACUCGGCCGUCAAACGCUUCAGCGCCAAUGGUACUAUGUCUCAAGACCUGGGAGAGUAGGUCGUCGCCAGGC
rnacentral:rRNA from 1 species